CAACUUUCAGCAACGGAUCUCUUGGCUCUCGCAUCGAUGAAGAACGCAGCGAAAUGCGAUAAGUAAUGUGAAUUGCAGAAUUCAGUGAAUCAUCGAAUCUUUGAACGCACCUUGCGCUCCUUGGUAUUCUGAGGAGCAUGCCUGUUUGAGUGUCAUUA
rnacentral:rRNA from 8 species